rnacentral:rRNA from 1 species
GUGUCAGCAGCCGCGGUAAUACGUAGGAUGCAAGCGUUGUCCGGAUUUACUGGGCGUAAAGCGCGCGCAGGCGGCACUCUAAGUACGCUGUGAAAUAUCCCGGCUCAACCGGGAGGGUGCAGUGUAGACUAGAGAGCUUGAGGUCGGUAGAGGGGGGUAGAAUUGCUGGUGUAGCGGUGAAAUGCGUAGAGAUCAGCAGGAAUACCCGUGGCGAAGGCGGCCCCCUGGGCCGUACCUGACGCUGAGGCGCGAAGGCUAGGGGAGCGAACGGGAUUAGAUACCCCUGUAGUCC